GAUGAACGCUGGCGGCGUGCCUAAUACAUGCAAGUCGAGCGAACAGACGAGGAUCUUGCUCCUCUGACGUUAGCGGCGGACGGGUGAGUAACACGUGGCUAACCUACCUUUAACACUGGGAUAACUUCGGGAAACCGGAGCUAAUACCGGAUAAUAUAUUGAACCGCAUGGUUCAAUAGUGAAAGACGGUUGUUCUGUCACUUAUAGAUGGAUCCGCGCCGCAUUAUCUAGUUGUUAAGGUGACGGGGUACCACCGCAACGAUGGGUAGCCGACCUGAGAGGGUGAUCGGCCACACUGGAACUGAGACACGGUCAAGACUCCUACGGGAGGCAGAAGUAGGGAAGCUUACGAAAUGGGCGAAAGCCUGACGGAGCAACGCCGCGUGAGUGAGGAAGGUGUUCGGAUCGUAAAACUCUGUUAUUAGGGAAGAACAAAUGUGUACGUAGCUAUGAACGUCUUGACGGUACCGGAUCAGAAAGCCACGGCUAACUACGUG
rnacentral:rRNA from 1 species